rnacentral:tRNA from 1 species
AGCUAUUUAGUUUAAAUAAAAAUUUUUAUUUGUGGUAUAAAAGAUGUUAUAGCUA